ACCGGCGCACGGGUGAGUAACGCGUAUCCAACCUUCCCAUUACUGUGGGAUAACCUGCCGAAAGGCAGACUAAUACCGCAUAGUCUUCGAUGACGGCAUCAGAUUUGAAGUAAAGAUUUAUCGGUAAUGGAUGGGGAUGCGUCUGAUUAGCUUGUUGGCGGGGUAACGGCCCACCAAGGCGACGAUCAGUAGGGGUUCUGAGAGGAAGGUCCCCCACAUUGGAACUGAGACACGGUCCAAACUCCUACGGGAGGCAGCAGAC
rnacentral:rRNA from 1 species